ACGAACGCUGGCGGCAUGCCUAACACAUGCAAGUCGAACGAGACCUUCGGGUCUAGUGGCGCACGGGUGCGUAACGCGUGGGAACCUGCCCUUAGGUUCGGAAUAACUCCCCGAAAGGGGUGCUAAUACCGGAUAAUGUCUUCGGACCAAAGAUUUAUCGCCUUUGGAUGGGCCCGCGUUGGAUUAGCUAGUUGGUAGGGUAAAAGCCUACCAAGGCGACGAUCCAUAGCUGGUCUGAGAGGAUGAUCAGCCACACUGGGACUGAGACACGGCCCAGACUCCUACGGGAGGCAGCAGUGGGGAAUAUUGGACAAUGGGCGAAAGCCUGAUCCAGCAAUGCCGCGUGAGUGAAGAAGGCCUUAGGGUUGUAAAGCUCUUUUACCCGGGAUGAUAAUGACAGUACCGGGAGAAUAAGCUCCGGCUAACUCCGUG
rnacentral:rRNA from 1 species